AGGCCCCGCCGGAGGAUGCCGCCGGGCGCUGGGGCGGCGCGGCCCCCCGGCGGGGCGCGCUCGCUGAGCCCCGCGGCGCUGUCUCGCAGCCUGUCCCGCCUGCGCGAGCACCGCGCCCGCUCGCGGGCUAUGCUGGCGCUGGGGGUCACUCAGAUGUUGCUGGGCUGCCUCAUCGUGGCCGUCAGCUUCGCCGCUCUGGCGCUCACCACCUCGGCCCGCGUCCGCCACUCGUGUCCCUUCUGGGCCGGCUUCUCGGUGCUGCUGUCAGGAUUGAUUGGUGUUGUUUCGUGGAAGAGGCCCCUUUCACUUGUGAUAACCUUUUUCAUGCUGCUCUCUGCAGUGUGUGUAAUGCUGAAUUUAGCUGGUUCCAUUCUUUCUUGUCAGAAUGCUCAGCUAGUAAAGUCCCUGGAAGGAUGUCAGUUGAUUAAAUUUGACAGUGAUGGUGUCUGUGUUUGCUGUGAAAUGCAGCAUCAAACGUCAGGUUGCAGUAACCUUGGAGAAAUGCUGAAACUGAACCCUCUGCAGGAAUGUAAUGUUGUCAGGUUGACCCUAAAGGACCUGUUGUUCAGUGUGUGCGCUCUCAAUAUCAUCUCCACCAUUGUCUGUGCUUUGGCAACAGCAAUGUGUUGCAUGCAGAUGGUUUCUUCUGAUCUUCUGCAAAUGUUUCUGCCACAGCGGCCACAUUCUGCCAAUCCAGACUGCAUGACUCCACAUGGGACUGUUCUGCAUCAAACUUUGGAUUUUGAUGAGUUCAUCCCACCAAUACCACCUCCACCCUACUACCCACCGGAAUAUACCUGCACACCUGUGGUAGAGGCACAGAGCAGAAGUCUCCACUUGGAAUUUCCUCAUUCCCCAUUCAGUGCUUUGUAUGAAGUCACCAUUAACAGCCCAGGAAUGCUGUAUCCAACUGAGCUGCCACCUCCGUACGAGGCAGUGAUUGGAGAAACUCCUGCCAGUCAGGUCACUGGUACUGAUCAGCAAGUAUCUGAAUCAAGCUUGGGUGAGAGGAAUGUGACCCUGGGUUUCAGCACGCAAGUUUCUGUUGAGAGCACCUCAUUGAUGACCUCCGAAACUGCUGAAAUCCCAGACCAUAGCUGCUCCUCUGAAGAUCUUUGUUCGCUGGAAGUUCAAGGAUCUCUCCGUUCUUCAGAUUUUUCUCCCUCCUGUACACACUGCAAAGGGGCUACGGGCUGGAGCUGCAGCAGUCUGGACUACAGCACCCGCUGCAGGUUCCACAGAACUCGCUCCGAAGGUUUUCCUGAUGAGGAUGUCAGUUUGCACAGCAGAGUCUCUAUGGACAAGUCUCAAGGACAGGAAAAUGAAAACUGUGCCCACGGCCGAUCCUCAGACUGUUCAUCAGAGAAUUUCAACCCCUCAGAAAGAGAACUGCGAAGUACUGCUCAAGAAGGCAGUGUCACAUUGCAUUUGAAACAAAUGAAAACCUGCUGUGGGGUCUUUAGCCAGCCUCCUGUCCCUCCCCACACUGCUCCCUGUUUUGGGCCUGCAAAUACUUCAUCGUAUGCGAGCAGUUCUGAGAGUACUGUCCAGCAGCAUCAUGUUACAAAGUACCGAAUUUCAAAUAUUGUCCGAUCAACUAGUGAUCCUGUAUCGUGUUCGUCUUAUAUAGAAGGUGAUCAUUGUGCCUGGAGUCCUGUAUGUAGACAGCAUCAAGAUGCAGGAUCGUCAGCUACAUUAGAAACAGUUCCUGUUUCUGGUUCUCAUAUGGCUGCCUCUGCUUGUCAGCAUUCUUUGAGCAGUUUCCUACCAACUGGAAAACAGAGGGAUACAAGAAACAUUGAUCUACAUUUAAAGCCAAAGGCUUUGCAAACAGUCUCAAAAGAACGACCACACUCUUUAGUGGACCUUAAGGCCUAUAAAGAUACAAAAAUUUUAGUGGCAAAAUUUUUGGAACAUUCAAACUGUAAUCUCCCUCCAGAAGUACGUCACGUAGUGAACAGUAUACGAUCAGUAAUAAAAUCUGAUGAAAGACACAUGGAAGAAGCCAUCUUCAGUGCCAAUAUUAUAGACCAGGUAAUCACAAGUUCCCAGCAGAGUGUGAAUACCUCUAGAAAGCGACUUCAGGAAGACCUUCAUCUUCAGAGUUGUGGUGCUCUGAGCUCUCCAGUUGCCUUCUUACGCAGGUCCCAUCUCACUCGCAGUUUACAGCGGGGCAGGCCUCACAGUUUAAUUGGAGUUUGCCAGGAGACCAUCCUUUGAUAAUAUUCACAGGCUGGAAAAGGGCACUCUGACCUCCUGGGCCACCGCUUCUCCCCAUGUUUUAUAGUGCUGCUGAUUAGAGAGAGUUUAGGACAAAGAAGGCAAAUCAGGCCACUGUUUCAGCUGGCAUCCACAGGGUUUUUAUGCUGAAUUUGGUAAACUUCCUGCUGGAUGUCAUCUAAACUUUCCUAAGACCUCUGUCUACUCGAGUAUCAGAGCAUUAAUCCCAAAUGUGACAAAUACUUUAAACCUGUGCUUCUAAAGGACAUCAGCCUGGGGGGAGGUAUCACAUCAGAGUACUUCGAGCUGGAUAAAGCCUUGCAGCAGUGUUAUUCGUACCAGUCUGCUGUGACCAUGCAACGAUAUGUGAUCUUAGACUGGAAGAAGAGGAAAAGGUGAUGGUCCUGCAUUGCAGGCGGUCCUUAAUGCUGUAUCAGCCCUCAAAAACACUGGGUGGCUACCUGAGCUAGCAGUUCCCUGGAAGUUUGCUUUGUCCCAGAAAAUGGCUUGGGAAAGAAGAACUAUGAGAAGAGAACCCUGAGCUGCACCAGGUCUGCUGCUUUAGACAUGACUAUCUUCUAUUUAGCUACAAAACAAUUCCUAGACAGACAGCAAAGCAAGGUUAUCUACCUCUGCCACAAGAGAUAAGGGCACAGCACGCCAUUAAUUUUCACAGAGCUGAAACAGAAUCUUCACUUGGGAUGAAAAAAAAGAGAGAACUGAAAAAAUUAACCGAAUGUAUGUGUUCUUAAAUAUCAAAGGAUCAAGGUGCAUCUUUGAGAAGGAGUGCAUAUACCAACCAGAGAUGACCUGCUGCUUGAGAAUAACAAAAACUACACACGUGCUUUCAAUGGGCAACCUGACAAUACCUAUGCAGUGCAUGGGCAUGAACUCUGAAGACAUAUUCAUGGUUCACGAAAUAGGCUUUGGUGAAAGUGUUGCCUGAGCAGAUGCAAGAUGGUAAAGCUGUAACAAAGAUCUAUACUAAUGUUUUCUAAACAAUUUCAUGCUGCUGGAAAAUUACAUUUCAAUUUUGCGUUCGUUCUGCUAAAUGAAGCAGAUACAUUUCACAAUGACAGAACUAGUUUCAGCAGUCAUCUUGAUAUGAGAAAAUGUUAUAAUUUCCUGAUUUUUUUGUAUUUACAAUCAGUAGCAAUAAUGUGUAAAAUAUUAUUUUUAAAUUAUGAUUGAUUUUUUUAAAAUUAUGUCCUACAACAAUAAUAAGACAUAAGAUAACGUUUUCCUAUACAGCGAAGGUAUACUUUCUUUCUUUAUAAAUACGGUUCAUCGUUGGCAAAAGUGCACAGCUAAUGGUGGUGGUUCUGUUGAAAAAUUGUGUUUUGUAGCUGAGCCUUUGCUCCAUCAAAUAGUGCUGUUGUGCUCUUUGUAUCUGUUGUAGUUUCCAUGGAAAUAAAGAGGAGGCAUUACUUUUAGAGUAACCUUCCUAUUUAUUGCUCAAACUGGAAACACCUGAAAACAUAAUAGUUUCAUUGGUCAAACCAGCUGCAACUAAAAGCAUGCACAAAAUUUUACCGGAAUUGGAACCCAGAAGUACUUAUUACUGAAGCAUUUGGUUUUGCUUUACUUCACUAUCUCUAUUAGUUUUGUCAUAUUUUUUGUUUUCUUGUUGUCCAAAGUAUCUUUGGUUCUUGGCUAAGACUGAGUUUGUCUCUACUGCUUUUGGCAGCUGCUUGGAUAUAUGUGUACAGAUAUUUUUAAUUUGAAGAAACAGGAAAAAAAACUACAGGUUCAUUAGUUUUUUGUGGGUAUUGUAUUUUUGGGGGGUGGUUGUUGUUUGUGUGGUAUUCUUUGUUGUUGUUUUCUUUUUUUUUUUAAUUCCUCUGAUGUGCAUUCUAAUUGCCUGCAGGCUACUUCUCUGUUUUCAAGAAAGUUUUAUUUCUUCUUUUUUUUUUAAGUAUUUUAUUUUAUUGCUAUUCUCAGUGCGUAUCUGAAUAUCCUACUGGGUAGCAUGAGAUCAGUUUUUACAUAGUUCAGUCUUCUUAGGUGACUGAGGUUCCCUCCUUGGUGUGUCAGCAGUAACAGGGUUUCUCUUGAUAUCUGUUCUUCCUUAAAAAAAAACCUUACUGAGAUAUGAGAUAAUACAUAAUUUUCAUUGUUUUUUGUAAGCAUCAGCAUCAUUUAUGUAAAUAGCUAGGUUUUACUUUACCAUUAGUAGAACAAAUCUCUAAGGCGUAACAGAAGAAGUGUCAAGUUGACAAGUAAUUAAGAAUUUCAGUGUGAUUUAACUUGACAGAGAAAAAUGCUGAUUGUUUCUUAGAACCACCUGUCUCGCUUAAGAGAAUCAUUACCCAUAAAAUGAUUUUAAUGAUUCUUCUCAGUCUUGAAAGAAAAUGUUCUAUGCUUAUAUCUACAGCAUGAAAAGAGGUGAUGGGUAAGAGAUGGUUGGGGGUUCUCUCUAAGGUUUGCAGGGGCUCAUUAGGAUUUAUAACACUUCUUUCAGUAUGGAAAAAUGUUUUAUAAUGGACAUCUCUCAGCAGGAUCUUGGGAGCUCUGCAGAGAUAAUUGCUGUUCAGCAGUCUGCAAUAAGUAUUCUGUAAGGGUGUAAUCAUACGUGCAAUAUCACAAGAGUGAAUGGACCCAAGAAAAUGAAUGCAUUUAUCUCACCUGCCAGUAAAGUCUUUGUCUUUAUCAUCAUGGAGGAGUUACUCAAAGGUUUUGUUUUUACUUUCCCCUUGUAGGAGUAAAAGCAGUAAUUCCCCCAUUACCUCCCAUCUUUUUGUUAUCUGAUGCAAUUAUAUUUUGAAAUAAGGUACAUGUUAUAUAAUGACUAUAAACAUGUGUAUCAGUCUUUACUUCUUGUUUUCAUUCCAUAUUCCAUUCCAAUCUAUUUUCCAUUACCUUUAUCUCAUUUUCACUUUGUUUUGACUUUCCCACAAUCCCUCCAUGUCUGCCCUGCCCAUCUGCUUUAUUUUUUCACUUAUCCUUUGUCUAGUACCAUCCAUUCAACUCUUACUAUCUUCUUAUUUGUCCUUUAAAAUUCUGCCUCUUUUUCAGAACUCCUUUCUGUCUUCUCCUGUCCGCCUUUCUCAGAAUCUCCCUUUCUUUCCAUGAAACUCUCCUGGAAUCCCCUGUUGCUGUCCUUGAGACUCAGAACGUUUUAGGAAGGAAAGCAAGCCUAAGCAUUUUUCUAACCUUUUAAGUGAAGUAGUCCUGUGACAGUGUGAAUCAGUCUGUGAAGUCAGAUUUUAUGUAACCAAUCCUCUAGCAGGGACUCAGUGCGUACACAGUUGUCACCUGUAUAUCUCUGCUAGCUUUCCCAGUUGUUUCACUCCCAGCUUCUUUCCACUGAAUGAGCAAGAAGAGGGGAAAGGCUGCUGUGAUAUUUCUGCUGCUUUUGUGCAUGUAAAGCCACAGCAGUCAGGAAAGAGCUGGUCUUGUACAAAGCAGGUAUGUGACCAAACCUAGGAAUGCUUCUACCUUGUAUACUAAGCAGGUGGUGGUCACGUUGGGCUGAAUAUAUUCAGUAACUAAAUGUACAGGAAACUAAAAAGUAGCAGGGGGGCCAUUUUAGUGCCAUCAGAGCUGGUCUUAUUUUGACAGGGCAAUAUAACCUUACUGGUGCUAGUCAUCAUAUUCAGCCCUACUUCACAUCAUCUUUUAACUGAGAAUGUUGCAUUUUUAAUUGGCUGCUAACUCAUGUAAGCUAUGCAAUGCUACAGAUGGAUUAAAACAUGGAUGGCAUGCUGCAGAUACAGGUUUUAUAUAAUUGAUAAAGCCAUGAAAUAACAGACUGCCUCUGCCAGCUGCCACACCAGCUGAAAUAGAUCUAUGAUGAUUACACUAGUCAAGAAACUUCAUGAGCUCUGAAAAAUAUUACCAGGCCAAAGAAGCAAAGCAUGCCAACAACAGAAUUAAAAAGUUCCUGACAGCAUUCUGGAAGACUCACUGUAUAAAAAGAAAAAAAACCCAAGCACCUCUAGACAGUUUGUAAUUAAAAUAAUCCCCGCUAUUGCUUUUUUUCAUCUAGUUGAACAGAUCAUGCUAGAGACCAUUCCUCAUGACAAAUAACAUCUUAAAUGCACUUCUAGUGUUAUCUCAGGUGAAUCAGGAAAUUAAGAUAAUAGUUACUCUGACAAAAUGUUUGUGGUGUGCCUCAAAUGACGUCCUUUUUUUUUUAUUAUUCUUAAAAAGAUUUGUGUUCAGGCUUUAAGUUCUUUAGAGUGAAGUAUCUAAAGAUGGAAGGGAUAGGGUGAAUUAGAUUAAGACUAGCAUUCGCUUAACAGAGAGAACUCACCUGUUUCACCUGCUAACAAAAUGUAGCUGUUAAUUUGUCAAUAAUUGUGUUUAGUCAUCUUUACACUUAUAAUUACUAGCAUUUUAUUUUACACUAAUGCAAAAAGUAGUCAAACUUUGAUGAUACACUCUUGGACAAUGCAUGAUUUCAAAAAUUGCUGACAUAACAAAUAGUUGUAUUGGUCAUUAUAGAUGCAGUGCGGUACUGGGACUGAUUAUGGGUGGCAGAUUAUAAAUACUUCUGCCAAGUUAGAUGUGUUAUUCUAUUCUGCAGCUGGUGCUAUGCCUUAGGCAUUCUAAUGGCAUGUUAAGGACAUCUGCUUAUGAUAAAACAAAAAUAAGGAAUUUACUGGAGAUAUUAUUACCUACACAUUAACAGAUGCUAACUCUAUCUUAAAUUUUAGGAAGGAGUAGGUGUUUGCCUUGCUAGUGAAACAAAUAAUACACUAAUCAAAAACAACAUAAAAUCCUGUGUGUAGAAUGCUACAUUUGUCUUUACUGAAGAUCUUUUCUUCUUUAGCCAUGGUAUUUCUGAAUUCUGAUCUUAUAUGCCAAGCUAGAGGUUCAGUAACUGUUUUGUAUUUCCCUCUUCCAAAUUGUUCACGAAAAUAUUGAAGAGUAUUACAUCAUAACAUGCUUGUGAGUCUCCCUCUGCUCUUUAUAUUGCCAUCUACAUGGCAACAUAUCAGAAAUAAGUACACUGAAAAAUGUUUGGCCUGCUUGUAUGUCCUCUAUUCAAAUGAUAUAAUCUAGAAAAUGUUAUAUAAGACAGCAUUUAAAGGCCGUAUUUAAGUCAGUAAGUGAUGUCGGCUGCCUCUCCGUCAUGGGCAAAUCUAUUCCCUUGUCACAAAAAAAAAAUUCUCCAAAUGCUUGGUUUGUUGUGGCAUCUUUCUGACAGUUACACUUUUCUGUAAUUCUUGGUGUGUUCUACUACCUUAAAAAAAAAAAAAAAAAAAAAAAGACUAAAAGUUAUCUUCAUAAGUUCU